GCUCUCUGAUUAUAAUUUAAAGGGCCGCGGUAAUUUGACCGUGCAAAGGUAGCAUAGUAGUUAGUUUUUUAAUUGGAAUCUUGUAUGAAUGGUUGGACAAAAGAAAUACUGUCUCUAUAGUUUUUAUUGAAUUUAACUUUUAAGUGAAAAGGCUUAAAUUAAUUAAAAAGACGAUAAGACCCUAUAAAGCUUUAUAAGUAAGUUUAUUUGGUUGAAUUAUUAAUAAUAUUUUAAUAAAUUAUAUUAUUUUAUUGGGGAGAUAGUAUUAUAAUUUUAAAUAACUGUAAGUAAUUAAUACAAUUAUAAGUGGGUAGAAAAGUAAAAGAUCCUAUUAUAUAGAUUAAAAAUUUAAGUUACUUUAGGGAUAACAGCGUUAUUUUUUUUGAGAGUUCAUAUCGAAAAAAAAGAUUGCGACCUCGAUGUUGAAUUAAAAUUUCUAGAUAAUUGCAGAAGUUAUUUAAGAAAGUCUGUUCGACUUUUAAAUUUUUA
rnacentral:rRNA from 1 species